CGGCCGCGUCGACCUGAGAGGUGACCGGCCACAUUGGGACUGAGACACGGCCCAAACUCCUACGGGAGGCCAGCAGUGGGGAAUAUUGCACAAUGGGGGAAACCCCUGAUGCAGCGACGCCGCGUGGUAAGGGAAGAAGUAUUUCGGUACUGUAAACGUUCUAUCACGCAGGGGGCCAAGUCGUAACGAAGCACUCUUGACUUCGUUCGGAAAGGAAGGAGUGACUGAGUGGCGGACGGGUGACGUAACGCGUGGGUUAACCUGCCCCCAUACAGGGGGUAUAACAGGCUCGGAAAACGGUCUGCUAAUACCGCAAUAAGCGGCACAGUGCUGGCAACUGGCACGGUGUGAAAAACUGAGGUGGUAUGGGAUCGGGCCCGNGUCUGACUUAGGUAGUUGGUGCGGUAACGGCGCACCAGCCCGCGUAUCAGGUAGC
rnacentral:rRNA from 1 species